rnacentral:rRNA from 1 species
AGUGAACGCUGGCGGUAGGCCUAACACAUGCAAGUCGAACGGCAGCACAGUAAGAGCUUGCUCUUACGGGUGGCGAGUGGCGGACGGGUGAGGAAUACAUCGGAAUCUACUUUUUCGUGGGGGAUAACGUAGGGAAACUUACGCUAAUACCGCAUACGACCUACGGGUGAAAGCAGGGGAUCUUCGGACCUUGCGCGAUUGAAUGAGCCGAUGUCGGAUUAGCUAGUUGGCGGGGUAAAGGCCCACCAAGGCGACGAUCCGCAGCUGGUCUGAGAGGAUGAUCAGCCACACUGGAACUGAGACACGGUCCAGACUCCUACGGGAGGCAGCAGUGGGGAAUAUUGGACAAUGGGCACAAGCCUGAUCCAGCCAUACCGCGUGGGUGAAGAAGGCCUUCGGGUUGUAAAGCCCUUUUGUUGGGAAAGAAAAGCAGCAGGUUAAUACCCCGCUGUUCUGACGGUACCCAAAGAAUAAGCACCGGCUAACUUCGUG